rnacentral:rRNA from 1 species
ACCGGCAGCUCUAGUGGUAGCAGUUUUUAUUGGGCCUAAAGCGUCCGUAGCCGGUUUAAUAAGUCUCUGGUGAAAUCCUGCAGCUUAACUGUGGGAAUUGCUGGAGAUACUAUUAGACUUGAGAUCGGGAGAGGUUAGAGGUACUCCCAGGGUAGAGGUGAAAUUCUGUAAUCCUGGGAGGACCGCCUGUUGCGAAGGCGUCUGACUGGAACGAUUCUGACGGUGAGGGACGAAAGCUAGGGGCGCGAACCG